rnacentral:rRNA from 1 species
UNUGACUUGAGUGCAGAAGGGGAGAGUGGAAUUCCAUGUGUAGCGGUGAAAUGCGUAGAUAUAUGGAGGAACACCAGUGGCGAAAGCGGCUCUCUGGUCUGUCACUGACGCUGAGGCUCGAAAGCGUGGGUAGCGAACAGGAUUAGAUACCCUGGUAGUNCACGCCGUAAACGAUGAGUGCUAGGUGUUAGGCCCUUUCCGGGGCUUAGUGCCGGAGCUAACGCAAUAAGCACUCCGCCUGGGGAGUACGACCGCAAGGUUGAAACUCAAAGGAAUUGACGGGGGCCCGCACAAGCGGUGGAGCAUGUGGUUUAAUUCGAAGCAACGCGAAGAACCUUACCAGGUCUUGACAUCCCGAUGCUAUUCUUAGAGAUAGGAAGUUACUUCGGUACGUCGGAGACAGGUGGUGCAUGGUUGUCGUCAGCUCGUGUCGUGAGAUGUUGGGUUAAGUCCCGCAACGAGCGCAACCCUUAUUGUUAGUUGCCAUCAUUAAGUUGGGCACUCUAGCGAGACUGCCGGUAAUAAACCGGAGGAAGGUGGGGAUGACGUCAAAUCAUCAUGCCCCUUAUGACCUGGGCUACACACGUGCUACAAUGGUCGGUACAACGAGUUGCGAGCCGGUGACGGCAAGCUAAUCUCUGAAAGCCGAUCUCAGUUCGGAUUGGAGGCUGCAACUCGCCUCCAUGAAGUCGGAAUCGCUAGUAAUCGCGGAUCAGCACGCCGCGGUGAAUACGUUCCCGGGCCUUGUACACACCGCCCGUCACACCACGAGAGUUUGUAACACCCGAAGUCGGUGAGGUANCCUUUUAGGGGCCA